rnacentral:siRNA from 1 species
UUAGAUUGAGAUGUAGAGGUGUCA